rnacentral:rRNA from 1 species
CCCUUAGAUGUUCUGGGCUGCACGCGCGCUACACUGAUACUUUCAGCGAGUCCACCACCUUGCCUGGGAAGGUGGGGUAACCUCUGGAAAGUGCAUCGUGAUGGGGAUCGAUUAUUGUAAUUAUUAAUCUUCAACGAGGAAUUCCUAGUACGCGCAAGUCAUCAGCUUGCAUGGAUUACGUCCCUGCCCUUUGUACACACCGCCCGUCGCACCUACCGAUUGAGUGGUCCGGUGAAGACCUCGGACUGUGGCUGCGGUUGCUUGAUUGCGACUGUGUGCUGUGGGAAGUUGUCUAAAUCUUAUCACUUAGAGGAAGGUGAAGUCGUAACA